GAUGAAGAACGUAGUGAAAUGCGAUAAGUAAUGUGAAUUGCAGAAUUCAGUGAAUCAUCGAAUCUUUGAACGCACAUUGCGCCCCUUGGUAUUCCGGGGGGCAUGCCUGUUCGAGCGUCAUUUCAACCCUCAAGCUCAGCUUGGUAUUGAGUCCAUGUCAGUAAUGGCAGGCUCUAAAAUCAGUGGCGGAGCCGCUGGGUCCUGAACGUAGUAAUAUCUCUCGUUACAGGUUCUCGGUGUGCUUCUGCCAAAACCCAAAUUUUCUAUGGUUGACCUCGGAUCAGGUAGGGAUACCCGCUGAACUUAAGCAUAUCAAUAAGCGGAGGA
rnacentral:misc_RNA from 1 species